rnacentral:rRNA from 1 species
GAUGAACGCUGGCGGCGUGCCUAAUACAUGCAAGUCGAGCGAAUGGAUUAAGAGCUUGCUCUUAUGAAGUUAGCGGCGGACGGGUGAGUAACACGUGGGUAACCUGCCCAUAAGACUGGGAUAACUCCGGGAAACCGGGGCUAAGACUGGAUAACAUUUUGAACCGCAUGGUUCGAAAUUGAAAGGCGGCUUCGGCUGUAACUUAUGGAUGGACCCGCUUCGCAUGAGCUAGUUGGUGAGGUAACGGCUCACCAAGGCAACGAUGCGUAGCCGACCAGAGAGGGUGUUCGGACACACUGGGACCUAGACACGGCCAAGACGCCUACGGGAGGCAGCAGUAGGGAAUCUUCCGCAAUGGACGAAAGUCUGACGGGGCAACGCCGCGGGAGUGAUGAAGGCUUUCGGGUCGUGAAACUCUGUUGUUAGGGAAGAGCAAGUGCUAGUUGAAUAAGCUGGCACCUUGACGGUACCUAACCAGAAAGCCACGGCUAACUACGUGCCAGCCGCCGCGGUAA